GCGAGGCUGCCCUGUGCGUUAGGCACCGAUAUUCCUGGGGCCGAUAAUUCUCUAUAGGGAGCUGUCCCUUGGCGGACCCUGGUCCAUCAAUAUGGCGCCCACCUGGUAAACAGGGCCACAGAGAAUACAAACGCCGACGGCAGUGGUGGCUUCGCG
rnacentral:other from 1 species